AUGGAGCCAGUCUCUGAAAUGAAAACUUUCCACCUACGAGACAGUAAGAGGUCGUUGAGAUCAUUGCCUAGUCUCCUGAAGGCCUGUGAGUACUCAAAAUACUUGUUUUCUCAGGGAGUCAUUGGUCUAAGCUGCAUCAUUUACAGCUAUGCAGUUUGCUUCAGAGUAGGAGAGAAAACAGGAAAGGAUCCAAGUAAUUUAGUACUAAAUUGUUGCACAGUGGUGUUUAGUACUAAAUUAGUGAACCCAAUGGAAUUCUUUGAAAAGAAGAGACUUAAAUCAAAGAUGAAGCUUCUGGAAACAUCAUCUCCUAAAAGUUCAGCAGUCAGUUUAGAUCUUCUCAAUCUAUAUGUUGUUAACCAAAUAUCAACCAAAAAAGACAGCACUGUGAACCAGAAGAAGCCAGUUCAUAUUGAUAUCACUGGACACUUAAAAGCUCCUGUUAGAAGGUACAAUCUCGAUCUUCCCAAGUCACCGCUGCAUAAACAAUAUCCAGAAAACUUAGACCUCAUCCAGAACAGGUACUUGUAUAAAACAGGCAGUAGUUAAGCUACACUGAAGUUCUGAAAAAGGUGUUUCAUGAUGUACUUUCAUCUGCUUUCUAAAAAACUAAAAGGAGUUACCAUUGCAGUGCAGUGGAAAAUAAACCUGGUAAGGAUCUAUUUUUUGUGUAUUUA
rnacentral:lncRNA from 1 species